AAAAUGAAAUCAAAUCAAUUAUUUUUUUAAAAAAAACGAAAAACCCUCUCCAAUCCAAUCCUCUUCUUCUUAAUUUUCAAGGUUUCGAGAAUUCCAAUCUGCGUAAAUCCCUUUCAAUGUCAAUCCCUAAAACCGUCGAUUCCUCGCUCCGGUCUGAUUCUUUCACUGCCGUCCUCACUGACCUCGAAAACGCUUCUCUCUCUCUCUCUCUAUUUUUCUUUGUUUCGCUUACAAUUUGAAUUUUAUUUUGUUUUGUAGGCGAAAAAGCUGAAGGAGAAUCACGCAUGGUUGGUGGAAACUCUUUCUCUAUUUAAGAAACCGAACGCGGCAUCACGAGGGGCUUUGAAUUAGGAGAAAAUCAAAGCUGUUUCUUAUUACGUUCACUUAGUCUCCUAUAUAAGUUGCCUGAUACCUUCUGGUUUUGUGUCAGUUCAUUAUCCGACACAUUUAUAGAUAGGGUUCCACGUUCGGCAAAUAACAUGCCUUCAUCUUUACAUUUUUGAGUUACGUGCAGGGAAUACAGUUUGCUGCUGCCAGGGUGCUAUCUAUGUUGUUUAUCGCAGCAUAUUAUACUGAACCAAAUUCGUCUGGCAAUGUGUGCCUUGGUCUGGAUGAUAAGCAGAUCGCAGAUAUAAGGCACUCUGUAAAAAGUACAUUAGUUAAGCAGUUGGACCAGAACGGAGAUUUAUUUGUUGCCACAGUCAAUCUGCUUACUGCUGCAACACAUUAUCAGGUAUGUUUUAAUAGGGUUUAUUUCCUAUAUCUUUCCACUUAAAUUGGCUUCUGACACAGAACUUCACGAUCCAUUCAUACAUUUUUUUUGCAGUUAUCUCAAUCCUUACUCCCUCAUGGAAAACAUCUGGAUAGCUUUUAUUUUCUGAUAAAAUCUUGUAUCUCAAUAACAGCUUUCUAGCAUGUGUACAUUGUUUGCUUAUUGGUGGUUUCUCUGUUGCAGCCUUCGUAUCUUCUUGCCAUUUUUUCAGCAGCCUGAUCAAUUUAUACACUUCUUGUGAAUAUGACAAUAAAAUACCUUAUCGUACAAAGUUGUCCUUUAAAUUUUCCUCCAUUUAUUUAUUAUUUGUUUUGGUUCUAUUGAUUCUGGCACUAUAACCUUAUUGACAUACAUAUUGUUGCUAUAUCAUUUGACUGUGACGAACCAUUUUAGGAUCUAAAAUACCUCAGGAAGCACCCACUAAUAGGUUAUCAUAUCCACAAUUACAUGUCCUUGCAACUUGCAGGUUGCCACCAGUAUGUUCAUUGUACAUGUGAUGGGGAAAUUAGUAAACGGUAAUGCAGGAAGUUUAUCUGUAUCCUUGGUUGAGAAGAUCCACAUCACUUUUAACGUGUGAUACUGUCUUUAAUUGGGCAAGCAAUUCUCUCUAUCUAGUCAAUUGUUUGAUGAGUUUUGUCCACUUCAAAGUUGAUUGUUCGUUGGCAAUCCCUUCAAGAGGUCUUUGUAGUUAUUUAUUAACAGCAAUACCUGAUUUUUGCAAUUCUAUUGUUUUAAAGUGACAUCGCAUCUUUUCAGUUUGGGUGCAACAGUUGAGCUGUCAGCUUGCCUUAUCUGAAUUGUUGGCGUUACAGGUAACUUGAGCACGUGUUUCAUAUUUUUAUUUGAUUGUUUUUUUUAAUGUGACUCUUAAAAAUCUAUUCGUCUAGGAUUGUGGUUGCUUGAAUGGAAAUGCAUUGCAAUAGAUUUUUUCCGAAGUCCGAUGUGAAAUCAUUACAUGUACCAUUGAAUCAUUGUUCUAAUUCUGAGGCUCACCUCCUUUGGUAGUUUGAUAAUUUGUGCUGGGUUCUGAUUCAUUUGAUCCUGUAAGUUGAAUUCUUAUCGUUUUUCAAUAUCUUCUCAGUGAAGUAAAGAACUAAAAGGUCUGAUACUCACCAAUCUCUACUAUCAUCUUCAAGGAAAGCUAGAGGGUUGUAAAAUUGGUCCUGGACCAUUUAAAGAACUCUCUUGGUAUCUGGUGGAAUCAAACUGUUUGCUGAGCUAUCAACACAAGUAUGGUGACGAACAUUAUGGAAAGAUUUUCACUUGUAUGAGCUCAUGGAUAUACGAUCAGAUUUGCGUUUGAAUAUGUGGGACUAUACAGAUUGGAAAUCUUCUAAAGCAAUCACACAAACAAUGUUGGAGUGCUUGAAGGAUGCAAAUUCGAAGGUUUUAAUAGCUAGUUCAAAGCUUUCUGCUCCGAAAGCAUUUCUAACUGCUCUUCGUAUGUGGGAAGAUAAUGUUCUGGCCUCAAAUUGCUGAAUGGGAUAAAACUAUAAAGCUUUUGCUCAUGCUACUGCUUCUUGCUUUGGAGAUUAGUAAAUCUUCAGAAAAGGAAUCUCUAGACUUUGCUGAAGUUUCAAAUGUUUGUCUAGGGCUUUUGCCUAAUCUGUGCAAUUGCAUUACAGCUACUGAGUGUAGUUCCCUCUCCUUGGCUACCAUUGACUCAGUACUGAGAAGAUUUUUGACACCUAACACUUGAUUCCCCUUCAUACAGAAACAUCUUCAAUUACCUCAUGUUAUUUUGAAACUUCAUGAUCAAAGUUCUUUCUCAUCUGUUCCAAUCACAUUGAAGUUCCUUUUGACUCUUGCACGUGUGAGAGGAGGUGUUGAAAUGCUCCUUAGUGCUGGUUUCUUCUCAUCUCUUAGAGCUUUGUUUGCAUAUUCAUCGGGUGUUGUGCCUUCGAUAAUUAUGACAAAUGAUACGGUCUUCAUAAAGCAUUCUGACAAAACAGAAAAGCCUCAAACUAUCUGGGGCCUUGGCUUGGCAGUGGUCGUAGCUAUGAUUCACUCGUUAGGAGACAGUUCUUAUACUGAGAUUCUGGACAAGGUGAUUCCUUGUGUUUUAUCAGAGAAAGCUGAACUGACUUCUUAUUACAUCAGUGCACCUGAUUUUCCAUCUGAUAGUUGUGACAAGAAAAGACCACUGGCUCAAAGGACACAGACUUCUUUGAGUGCUCUUAAAGAAACAGAACAUCUGUUGAUGUGUGUGCACUAGCUAAACAUUGGAGGUGAUGGGUUAAGGUCAUGAAAGAAAUGGAUUCAGAGCUGCUGGAGAAAUGUAUUCAUCUAUUAGCCUUUAUUAGUCCAGGAACUCAUCGCGUCGGAGAAUCUUCCAGAGGAGUUAGAAUUUUGCAAGAAACCAUCAUUUUUAAAUAGCAUGAAUGGAUUGUUUUCUCUUCCACCUCUCUGUUGUGCAUCAAAGCCCAUGUCUUCUGCUUUCUCAGUCAUCACUACUGCUGCUGUAGGCAAGGGCUAUUCAACUAAAUUACCAAUCCAGUUUCUUCAGACUCGGUUGCCCUGCAUAUUAAUAGGAUCUCUUUUCUUCUCUUGAAAUACCUCUGUAUGGAAACAGAGGGUGCUGCUAAAAGAUAAGAGGAAGUGGGGUUUGCUGAUCUAACUCAGAUUCCUGAGUUGCCAAUGCCGGAGAUAUUGCAUGGCUUGCAGGUAAAAAGUGGAUCAGGCAGUUGUUAUUGUUCCGGAACUUUGUGGUUCAAACAAAUCAAGAUUUGUGGAGUAAGCCCUGCAUUAGGGCGUGUGGAGGAAUUUUCAAAGGAAGUAAAAUAGCUGUCAAAAGCCAUGGGAGUCUGUCUAAGCAUUCUUAAAAGCAUCGGUCACAUCCUUGAAACAUUUAACAUCUCUUGUCUACCCCGUAUUGUUACAGACCGAAGGUUUAUUAUGAAACACUUGUGGAAAAAUAGGCGAACUUAGUUGGGUGAGUAACAGAUCAUGAAAAUCCUGUACAGAUAUCAGAAUUAGGCAUGGCCAAGAUAUUUGCAUGAUUACAACGUAAAACUCUGCAUAACAUCAACAUCUGACAAUAUCAGAACCAUACAUCAUUGAAUAUCGCUUAGAUUUUUCAUGGUUCCUCUAGCUCAGUGAAGGAAUAUCACACAAACAUAAUGAAGAUGGUGCCAAAUAUCAUCGAUCUGGCGUUGUUUCGCAGUCAUCCUCUUUCUAUGAUUUUAAGGUGCCCUGUUACAAGAUAUGCCUUCCAGCAAGGGAUUAUAAUUAUUUCUUGAUCAUGCACCGACUGCUGUAAUGAUUAGGGCAAUGAAUUAUUCUAGGGGGACUGAAUUUUCACUUUUGUGCUUGAAUGGGCCCUGCCGCCUUGCAUGCGUGAUGCCACAAGGUAGCAUGUUUUUGUGGUGAGACAAUUGUUGAAACAAAAGCAACUGCAUAUUAUUGCAGUUCUUGACAAGAAAUGUGUCUUUGUCUCUCUUUCAUGUAGGUGGUAAUGCUAUUCAUCCAGGAACAGGUCUUAAGUAAUUAGUUACUCGAAUAGGAUCUAUCAAUCGUGUCAUUGUCAUCUCGAAUUUCCCUUAAUUGAUUCCAGAUGGAUAUCUAUAUCAGCAUCCUUUACAGUA